rnacentral:lncRNA from 1 species
GCACUCGUGUGUCAGCAAAAGCUGAGUCCCCAGCAACCGCCUCCGAGCCUUCCCCUUUGUUUCCCUCAGUGAUGCUAGGGUCUUGAAACUCAGCCCAGUACAAUCAUUGGUGUUUGAGCUGGCAACUGGGGGUCUAAUUGCCAACUAAGAUGGAUAUCUCUGGCUCUGGAGAAACAGCUGGGAUAGGACAUUGUUGCUUCUCUGCGGCAGGCAGCUCAUGAUAGGGUUUCUCUGUGCAGUCCUGGCUGUCCUGGAACUCACUCUGUAGACCAGGCUGGCUUAACGUUGAUGAAGACACCCAAAAAGAAGAUGGAACACCGGAGUGCUUUUGCCAUCAAACUUAUUCGUGCACUGUGUAAGAGUACAGAAGAGAUGCCCUUCCCUAAUAUCAGGAGACAUAGAGCUGUGAGAGGAUACUCACAUGAGGUCUGGAGGAGGGGAGAGAUAAGGGAGGCAUAAAAGAAACAUAAGCGGCAGAGUCUUCAGGUAAGCAAGUGAAAAAUGGAGUCGACUCUUAGAAAUUCACAAAGGCGCAGGAUAUUCUGCCUUACAGGAACACAGGCUUAGUCAUUAUGUGAGCUGUGCUACAGGCCACACGCAAGACAGACAGGCACUUGUGACAGGGUUCACAGAGAUGCUUCGUAGGGGAGGAUUUUAGUUAAUGUGUGACUGUAACAAAGCUGCCUUGGACCUGGGUGCUAGUGUGGCUGGCUGUGUUCCUACCCCAUCACAGCCCUAUCUGUUAGAGACUCAUGACCUGAAAGGCCUGGGUUUUCCAACAACCAGCACACUUGAAGAGCCUGGUCACUGUCUUUUAUAUGCCAGACCUCACGGCAGUGUGACAGCUUCUCAAUUGGGUACCUUAAAUAUAGUAUGUGUGAUUGGGAUCUCAGAGUAGCAAGAGACAGACAAGGAGAGAAUAUUUAUUUUUAAUGGACAGAAUAGACAAAGCAAUGGUCACAAUGCUCUGACUUUCUUUGGUACUUCCUUGCUAUGUUUGCAGAAGUUUACUAAACUCUCACUUGAUCCGUGUAGGCUAAUGAACAAGAGCCUACCUGGAAUCAUAAAUACAGGAUCACAGCCCUUCAAACAACGUCUGGGCUUGACCCAGCUUACAAAGCCAGUGUCCCUCAGAUAAAGGGGAGACCAGGUCUCCUUCAGGAAGAACCCACACAUGUUUUACUGUUAACCACUGUACAACUAUUCUUCAAAUGAACCUCUGGUGGUUGGAACCUCAUAGGCUCAUAUGUUUGAAUGUUUGGUUCCCAGCUGAUGGAGCUGUUUCUGGAAGGAUUAGUAGGUGUGUCUUUGUUGAAGGAGGUGUGUCACUUGGGGUGAGCUUUGAGAUUUCAGAAGUCCACGCCUAUCUCUCUUGAUUUUCUUGUGUUUUGCAAAGUGUUUCAGGUUUCACAUGAGGCCUCUUCUGGAGGUGAGUCUGUGCAGAGUGGUAGAUGCAAGUCUACUUUCAUUUCUCUAUAUGCAGACACCCAGCUCUCCCAGCCUCAUUCAUUAAAGAUCGAAGAAGCCAGAAGCCAUCUUUUCUCCAGGCAGUUUAUUUUAUUUAUUAAUUUUCUAUCUACCUACCUACCUACCUAUCUAUCUAUCUAUCUAUCUAUCUAUCUAUCUAUCUAUCUAUCUAUCUAUCUAUCAUCUUUGGCAUUUUUGUCAAAUAUCAAGUGGCUGUAGUUACACUUAUUCAUGUUUGGGUCUUCUAUUUUGUUUCAUUUGUUUACAAGCCUGCAUCUGAAUCAGGCAACCCAGUAGAAGAAGAAAGGGCCCUACAGUAGGCAAAAAGGAUCAGGAAGAGCCCUCGCUCUCACUGUUAGGAUUCCUACAAGAAUGCCAAGUUACACAGCCAUAACGUAUAUGCAGAGGACCUAGGUCAGAGCCCUCCAGGAUCCCUGAUCUCCGAGUCCCCAUGAGUCCCAGUCACUUGAUUCUGUGGGUCAUGUAUUCCUGGUGUCCCGGAUCCCUCUGGUUCCUCCAGUCUGUGCUCCCCUUCCUCUGCAAGUCUCCCUGACCGCCACCUAACGUUUGGCUGUGGGACACUGCAUUUGCUCCCAGUGGUUGCCAGAUAAAGCCUCUCUGGUUUCUGAUGACAAUUCUGCUAGGCCCCAGUCCUGGUACACUAGGCAGGUCAUACUGUAGGUUGAAAGUUUUAUGUCUGGGUUGGUGUCCCAAUCCCUCCACUUGAGGCCUUGCCUGGUAAUAGAAGACAGCUGAUUCAGGGUCCCUCUCCCCACUACUAGGAGUCUUUGCUAGGGCUAUGCUCAUAGAUUCUAUGGAGUUUCCAUUGCACUAGUUUUCCACCUCACUCCCAAAAUGACUCCCCCAAAUUCCAGUCAUUUCUCCCAGUCAUUUCUCCCAGUAAUUUCUCUAGCUCUCCAUCUGAUUCCUCCUGUUCCUAACCCCACCAACCUCAGUCCACCUGAAAAAUCUCUUCUAGCUCCCUCCCCAGGGAGAUCCUUUCCCACCAUUAAGCUUUCAUUGUUACUUAGCCUCUCAAGGAUCCUGGACUGCAGCAUGAUUCCUUUGCUUUAGAGCAGAUACCCAUUUGCAUGUAAGUAUGUCUGUGAUGGUGUGUGUCUAGUCUUACUGUAGCUUGUUAUGCUGUUUUCAUUAAUACUCCUGGGAGGCUUGCUCUUUUCUAAGGGGACACAGAGGUGGGCAGUGGAUCUGGGGGCCAGGGGAGUUUGGAUGGAGAAACUAGGGGGUGGUGCCAUCCCUGGGCUCUAUAAGAAAGCAGGCUGAGCAGGCCAGGGGACGCAGUCCAGUAAGCAGCACCCUCCAUGUCUCUGCAUCAGUUCCUGCCUCCAACUUCCUGCCCUGUGCGUGUUCCUGUCCUGACUUCCUUUGGUGAUGAUCAGCAACAUGGAAGUGUAAGCCGAAUAAACCCUUUCCUCCCCGACUUGCUUCUAGGUCAUGAUGUUUUGUGCAGGAAUAGAAACCCGGACUAAGACACCAUAUGUAAAGAGGGAUGCUUUGACUUCUUUGCCAGAGAUGGGCAAGCCUGUCACAUUCCUGAUCUAAAGGAGCCAUUCAUCAAUGAGUUGUUUAAUUUCCAUGAGCAUGUAUAUUUAAGAGAUUUGUUUGCUGUCAAUCUAAGUUUUGUCAAAUUAUGUAUGGUCGAUAGGAUACUUAGAGUUCUGCUUCUUCAAUAAAAUAACCCUAAUGUUUAUUCUUUUUUUAAUUG